CUGAAGAAAUGGUAGUGGUUGAGCUGACUCUUAGGAGUAUGUGCUCGCUCUAUCGCUUUUUCUACUCUCCACUGUGCACCUAUUGUAGGCUAUGAUAAUUCUCAAAUCUCGCAAGGGUAUUUGGAUAGAAGGCUAUGCAUUCAUUUGCUUGCUUUCAACUUCGUAGCCUAUGUCUAUACAAACUCUUGAUAGUCUUAUGAAUGUCAUAUUGUUGGUCUUUGACCGAUAAAUAACAUA
rnacentral:misc_RNA from 1 species